UACAUUAUCUGUUCUGUUGCAUACCCCCCCUCCCUUUUUUAUCAAGAAAUAGAUGACAGGCAAGUGCUAGAGAGAUUCAAUUGACUAUUUUAUUCCUAAUAAAUAAUCUAGACAAUAGGUAUAUAAGACAAAGCAGUUAACUUUCAUGUACAUUACCUUAUGUAAACACCUAAUUAAGUUGCUUUCAUGAGAGAGGUGACUGGAAGGUCCCUUGAAUUCUCAUGUUCGUGGUGCACACGCUUGUGCUUAUGCUUUGCACUCCUUUUCUUUUUGAGAACAUUCUAGGUCUACCAAAGAAGCAUCCAGCGUUAACUUGCUAUUCCAAAGUUCAGGGAUAGAAUUUGUGUGAGCAUCUGCCCAUUGCCACUUCUGUGAGUGGAGCUUGCUUUUCUUGUAAGCGGACACACUAAAGAUGGAAAAGCUUUUGGGCUAUCGAGUUUGUGUUGUGACCGUAUUAAGUUCAGCCGGUGGAGAGAGCAGGUUUCAUCCCCCAUGCCAAGAUGGAAUUAUAGCAGAGAGUAGAAAGACUACCUGUCGCUGAUAUUCAUACAAGGUAGAUAGCAAUUUGUAAGUUAUGCCGUUAUUGGUAUAUAAGAUUGAUUAAGUGUUUGACUUGCAGAAUCAUUCUGACUAUAUUGAUUGAUAAUCAACAACAUUUGCUGUUGCAA